rnacentral:tRNA from 1 species
GCUGCUAUGGCCAAAUGGUUAAGGCGCCUCUUUAGUAAGGAGGAGAUUCCUGGUUCGAUUCCAGGUAGCAGCA